AGCUGCGAUACGAAUUCCUAGUUAGCCACCUUGCUGGUCCAGGAAAGACAGCAGAAACAGAAUAAAGGAAAGCUAGAAAGCAAACAAAACAAAGCAAUGUCAAGCCCGCAGUUGGCUGUUGUGAGCUUCUGUGGUGCCAUUGUGAGCUGCGUGGUGCCGUUGUGAGCUUGUGUGGCGCCGUUGGGAGCUGCGCGGUGCCGUUGGGAGCUGUGCGGCGCUGUUGUGAGCUUGUGUGGUGCUGUUGGGAGCUGCGUGGUGCUGUUGGGAGCUGUGCGGCGCUGUUGGGAGCUGUGCGGCGCUGUUGUGAGCUUGUGUGGUGCUGUUGUGAGCUUGUGUGGUGCUAUUGUGAGCUUGUGUAGUGCUAUUGUGAGAUUGCAUUGCAUUGUUGUGAGCUGCAUGGUGCUGUUGGGAGCUGUGUGGUGCUUUUGUGAAGUGCAUGGUUCUGUUGUGAGCUUCAUGUUGCUGUUGUGAGCUUGUGUGCUGUUGUGAGCUUGUGUGGUGCUGUUGUGAGCUGUGUGGUAUGAGCUUGUGUGGGGCUGUUGUGAGCUUGCAUGGCAUUGUUGUGAGCUGCGUGGUACUGUCGUGAGCUGUGUGGUGCUGUUGUGAGCUUGUGUGGUGCUGUCGUGAGCUGCGUGGUACUGUCGUGAGCUUGUGUGGUGCUGUCGUGAGCUGUGUGGUGCUGUUGUGAGCUUGUGUGGUGCUGUUGUGAGCUUGUGUGGUGUUAUUGUGAGCUUGUGUGGUACUGUCAUGAGCUGUGUGGUGUUGUCAUGAGCUGUGUGGCGCUGUUGUGAGCUGUGUGUUGCUGUUGUGAGCUUGUGUGGUGGUGUGAGCUUGUGUCGUGCUGUUGUGAGCUGUGCGGUGUUGUGAGCAUGUUUGGUGCUGUCACGAGCUAUGUGGUGCUAUUGUGAGCUGUGUGGCGCUGUUGUGAGCUUGUGUGGUGCAGUUGUGAGCUGUGUGGUGCUGUCGUGAGCUGUGUGGUGCUGUCGUGAGCUGUGUGGUGCAGUUGUGAGCUGUGUGGUGUUGUCGUGAGCUGUGUGGUGCAGUCGUGAGCUGUGUGGUGCAGUCGUGAGCUGUGUGGUGCAGUCGUGAGCUGUGUGGUGUUGUCGUGAGCUGUGUGGUGCUGUCGUGAGCUGUGUGGUGUUGUCGUGAGCUGUGUGGUGCUGUCGUGAGCUGUGUGGUGUUGUCGUGAGCUGUGUGGUGCAGUUGUGAGCUGUGUGGUGCUGUCGGGAGCUGUGUGGUGUUGUCGUGAGCUGUGUGGUGCAGUUGUGAGCUAUGUGGCGCUGUCGGGAGCUGUGUGGCGCUGUUGUGAACUGUGUGGUGUUGUGAGCUUGUGUGGUGCUGUUGUGAGCUGCGUGGUGCUGUCGUGAGUUUGUGUGGUGUUGUGACUGCCCAGGGUGACGCAGCGUUGACCGAUGAUGAGGCACCUGAUACAGAUAAGUCCUAACAUAUUCCCUGGUGCAAUUUACCAGAAAGGCUGAAAGGCUGGGCCGCACUGCAGGGUCCCUCACCAAGGGAAAAUCUCCCCAGGGCAUGGAUGGGGUUUCCGGCUGUGUCACGUGGCUCCUGCCACCACUCAGUGAAGCCCUAAGGGUCCUCUGGCUUUAGAGUUUGAUAAUUUGCUCCGAUUGCCUCUAACAGAGGGCCUGUCUCCAUCCACCCCAUCACCACAGGUGGGUCAGUCGCUCCAGGUGGGACAGACAUCGGCUGCACAAGGACCACGGCAAAUCUGCCCCCAGGACGCUUCCAAAGAGGGCAGUGGGGUCACUCAGUGCCCGUGAACGCUCAGGGUCACUCAACGUCUGUGAACGCUCAGGCACCAUGCUGAGUAGCCACCAGGUCAGCAGCCCCGGGUGCGGCCCCCAGACAGGAAGGGUGGGCUCCUGCUUUAGCCUGGCAUUGUCUUUGCUUCUGUUCUUCCUUCUGGUGACUUCCACCUUGGAACCUGGGAGCUGGAACGGUGCACACCCCAGUGUUGUCAGAAACAUCCUCCAAAGCCUCCAUACACUGCUCCCCUUGGAAGGACAGGAAGAGGCUCUAUCUCCGACUCCCUGAGGGAUCUCACCCCUGCUGGGCAGGUAAGUGGCAGACCUGGGACAGAAGACUGUGAAAAGUGGCAGAGAGCAUCUUCUUGCAUAUAACAGAAAAACUGGCACAAAAGAAAAGAACCAUGAGUACGACAGCAUCAAUAUGAUGGGCGUGUAGAGAAGCCUCGAGACACGAGUAGCAGAGUGAGACCGACUGUUCGUAGGAAGGGGCUGGCACAGUGGGUGAAUCCAAUAGCACUUCACAGGUGCGAGAAGACAAUUCCUCCGCUGUGGGGAGAACACACAGCUGUGAAGAAAAUGGCCAAAGAAAUAUGAGCAAAACUUACAAAAGCAGAAAUGCAAAUUACCAAGAAGCAUUUAAAAGCUGCACAAUCUCACAACAGAUCAGGGAACUGCAAUGGAAAACAGUCUGAUUUUUUUCCCAUUAGAUUAGAAGAAAUGAAAACGUUUAAUGUCAAACAUUAGAGGAAAUUGGUGCAUAAAUGGUUUUUUAAAAAGUCAGAAUUCGUCAUCUCAAAAUAAAUUCAUCAAAUUGAUUACAUUAAAAUUGCACUGACUCUGUGAUGCAUCAGUUUCUUUUCUCAGCAUUUACCCUAGGGAAGAAUGGACGAUGAGCAGGGGAUGAUGAGCAGGGAAGCAGCUGAAACAUUGGCAAGGCAGAGACCACGGCAGAGGCCACGUCAGAGACCACAGUGGAGGCCAUGUCAGAGACCAUGGCAGACGUCAUGACAGAGGUCAUGCCAGAGAUCCCCUGGGAGCAGAGGGAGUGCCCACCCGCAGGACGUGGGGGAGCAAGGCUGCAGCUGUGGGGAGCACUUGGGCACAUCACAGCGUGGGCAUGGCAGACGAAGACAUGCAGGCCACACGCAGGAAGGCACAAACGCACCGGUCACAGUGUCAGGGGAGCACUGGGUGGUGUCACAAGGGAUGUGAGCUUUUGUCUGUUGUGUGUCUGUAUGUGUGUUUUAACAGUAAGAUUGGGUUCGGGCAAAAUCUAAGGGAAUAAAAAGCAGGGGAGUGGCUGUGUGUGAAUCUGGAGCACAGGUGGCCAUGCAGUGACAUUAAAAUUAGGUCAAAGGAAAGACUAGAGCCAGGGGCGAAGGCGGGAGCGUGGUAGGAAGUGGGGACGGCCUGGCCAAGGCCCCGCCAGACCACAAAGCUCAGGCCCAGACCGCAGAAGGCCGAUAAGAGCGUUCCGGAAAUCAGCUCUGUCUCGGAAAGAGCCAGGCCCAUGGGCUCCUGGCCGUGGGCAACCAAGGCUGAGUCAAAGCCACGUUCUCAAGAGAAUCCAGUGCAAUUAUGCAGAGACUCAUUUAAAAUGACAAGUACUUUUUAAAAGUCACUCUCUGAAAAUGACAUUCAAACCAAUUAUCAUUAAGGGAAGAUGUAAGUUAGCUUUGUUUAAAAAAAAAAGAAGGUGGAGAAGAAUAAAAAUCUGUUUUUAGAUACUUUGUAUGUUGCAGUUUAGAAAUACUCCUGCUGAAUAAAACCUACAGGAAAUGGAAGCAGAGGCGUGUGCAGCCAGCUCAGGAGGGAGGAGGUGAGCUUUGCUUUGCCUGAGUGCUGGUGAGAUUUUGCCACCG
rnacentral:lncRNA from 1 species